AGCAACAUAUUAGUUAAGAAAAAAGAACAUUUCUGUGCUCCAUUUGAUAGAUAAAUAGAACAAUUUAACUUAAAAAAUAAAUAAUCUUCUCAGUGUUAUUUGUUUUAUUUUAAUCUACCGCACAAAUUCUUCGGCACGACACAUAAAUUCCACCACCAUUUCCACCAAAAAAAUGUCACAAAAACCACCACCAAUUGAUUUGGAAAAUAAAGUGGAGAUCAAUUCCAGACAUCAAUGACUGAGUUUACAGUUCAAAAGGUUCCUCCACGCUAUCCAGAACGAGUGAAAUGAAUCUUAUGUUUAAUACAGACUACAAUACUUUAGUGUGAUCCACAUUUUACAGACUUGUAGUGUCUGCACCCUCUGACCACUUGUUGAUGUGUUCGCUCUAAUCCUAGACAAAAACAACAUUCAACAAUUCUAUAUCGGGUAUAAAAAUGACGUCAGAGACUCCUUGCUCGCCACAGUUCGUAUUACAAACGCAUUGCGAGGCAUGCAUUUUGUUCCCCUCAACAGUUGUGUGGAUAGAUAUGAUAUUAGAGAAAUUCAACGCCAACAUUUCUCAUAGUGGUCUUAAAUAAAGUGUCACACAAGACGUAUGUUUUGAUAUUAUAUAAUUCGACUGAA